GCGCCCGUAGCUCAGCUGGAUAGAGCGCCGGACUUCGAAUCCGUAGGUCGCAGGUUCGAAUCCUGCCGGGCGUACCA
rnacentral:tRNA from 3 species